UGGGGUGUAGCCAAGCGGUAAGGCACGGGUCUCUGAAAUCCGCAUGCACUGGUUCGAUCCCAGUCACCCCAGCCA
rnacentral:tRNA from 1 species